AGAGUUUGAUCCUGGCUCAGGAUGAACGCUGGCGGCAUGCCUAAUACAUGCAAGUCGAACGAGAGGAAGGAAAGCUUGCUUUCCUGAAUCUAGUGGCGAACGGGUGAGUAACACGUAGGUAACCUGCCCAUGUGCCCGGGAUAACUUCUGGAAACGGAUGCUAAAACCGGAUAGGUAGCAGACAAGCAUUUGACUGCUAUUAAAGUGGCCUUGGCCAUGAACAUGGAUGGACCUGCGGUGCAUUAGCUGGUUGGUGAGGUAACGGCCCACCAAGGCGACGAUGCAUAGCCGGCCUGAGAGGGCGGACGGCCACAUUGGGACUGAGACACGGCCCAAACUCCUACGGGAGGCAGCAGUAGGGAAUUUUCGUCAAUGGGGGGAACCCUGAACGAGCAAUGCCGCGUGAGUGAGGAAGGUCUUCGGAUCGUAAAGCUCUGUUGUAAGAGAAAAACGGCACUCAUAGGGAAUGAUGAGUGAGUGAUGGUAUCUUACCAGAAAGUCACGGCUAACUACGUGCCAGCAGCCGCGGUAAUACGUAGGUGGCGAGCGUUAUCCGGAAUGAUUGGGCGUAAAGGGUGCGUAGGUGGCAGAUCAAGUCUGGAGUAAAAGGUAUGGGCUCAACCCGUACUGGCUCUGGAAACUGAUCCGCUAGAGAACAGAAGAGGACGGCGGAACUCCAUGUGUAGCGGUAAAAUGCGUAGAUAUAUGGAAGAACACCGGUGGCGAAGGCGGCCGUCUGGUCUGGAUUCUGACACUGAAGCACGAAAGCGUGGGGAGCAAAUAGGAUUAGAUACCCUAGUAGUCCACGCCGUAAACGAUGAGAACUAGGUGUUGGGGGAAUAACUCAGUGCCGCAGUUAACGCAGUAAGUUCUCCGCCUGGGGAGUAUGCACGCAAGUGUGAAACUCAAAGGAAUUGACGGGGGCCCGCACAAGCGGUGGAGUAUGUGGUUUAAUUCGAAGCAACGCGAAGAACCUUACCAGGCCUUGACAUCCCUUGCAGAGGUAUAGAGAUAUAUCCGAGGCUAUCAAGGAGACAGGUGGUGCAUGGUUGUCGUCAGCUCGUGUCGUGAGAUGUUGGGUU
rnacentral:rRNA from 1 species